rnacentral:rRNA from 1 species
GACGAACGCUGGCGGCGUGCCUAACACAUGCAAGUCGAACGGAACUGUUUUGAAAGAUUUCUUCGGAAUGAAUUUGAUUUAGUUUAGUGGCGGACGGGUGAGUAACGCGUGAGUAACCUGCCUUCAAGAGGGGAAUAACAUUCUGAAAAGAAUGCUAAUACCGCAUGACAUAUCGGAACCACAUGGUUUUGAUAUCAAAGAUUUUAUCGCUUGAAGAUGGACUCGCGUCCGAUUAGUUAGUUGGUGAGGUAACGGCUCACCAAGACCGCGAUCGGUAGCCGGACUGAGAGGUUGAACGGCCACAUUGGGACUGAGACACGGCCCAGACUCCUACGGGAGGCAGCAGUGGGGGAUAUUGCGCAAUGGGGGCAACCCUGACGCAGCAACGCCGCGUGAAGGAUGAAGGUUUUCGGAUUGUAAACUUCUUUUAUUAAGGACGAAAAAUGACGGUACUUAAUGAAUAAGCUCCGGCUAUCUACGUG